AGCGAACGCUGGCGGCAGGCCUAACACAUGCAAGUCGAACGAACCCUUCGGGGUUAGUGGCGGACGGGUGAGUAACACGUGGGAACGUGCCUUUAGGCUCGGAAUAACUCAGGGAAACUUGUGCUAAUACCGAAUGUGCCCUCCGGGGGAAAGAUUUAUCGCCUUUAGAGCGGCCCGCGUCUGAUUAGCUAGUUGGUGAGGUAACGGCUCACCAAGGCUACGAUCAGUAGCUGGUCUGAGAGGAUGACCAGCCACAUUGGGACUGAGACACGGCCCAAACUUCUGCGGGAGGCAGCAGUGGGGAAUCUUGCGCAAUGGGCGAAAGCCUGACGCAGCCAUGCCGCGUGGAUGAUGAAGGUCUUAGGAUUGUAAAAUCCUUUCACCGGUGAAGAUAAUGACGGUAGCCGGAGAAGAAGCCCCGGCUAACUUCGUGCCAGCAGCCGCGGUAAAAC
rnacentral:rRNA from 1 species